GCCCAGACUCCUACGGGAGGCAGCAGUGGGGAAUAUUGGACAAUGGGCGCAAGCCUGAUCCAGCCAUACCGCGUGUGUGAAGAAGGCCUUCGGGUUGUAAAGCACUUUAAGCAGGGAGAAAAAGUUAUAAGUUAAUACCUUAUAACCGUGAUGUUACCUGCAGAAUAAGCACCGGCUAAUUCCGUGCCAGCAGCCGCGGUAAUACGGAAGGUGCAAGCGUUAAUCGGAAUUACUGGGCGUAAAGCGCGCGUAGGUGGUUUGUUAAGUUGGAUGUGAAAGCCCUGGGCUCAACCUAGGAACUGCAUCCAAAACUAACUCACUAGAGUACGAUAGAGGGAGGUAGAAUUCAUAGUGUAGCGGUGGAAUGCGUAGAUAUUAUGAAGAAUACCAGUGGCGAAGGCGGCCUCCUGGAUCUGUACUGACACUAAGGUGCGAAAGCGUGGGUAGCGAACAGGAUUAGAUACCCUGGUAGUCCACGCCGUAAACGAUGACAACUAGCUGUUGGGAGACAAUGUCUUUCAGUGGCGCAGCUAACGUUUUAAGUUGUCCGCCUGGGGAGUACGGCCGCAAGGCUAAAACUCAAAUGAAUUGACGGGGACCCGCACAAGCGGUGGAGCAUGUGGUUUAAUUCGAUGCAACGCGAAAAACCUUACCUACUCUUGACAUACUUGGAAGCUCUUGUAAUGAGAGUGUGCCUUUUGGAGCCAAGAUACAGGUGCUGCAUGGCUGUCGUCAGCUCGUGUCGUGAGAUGUUCCGUUAAGUCGGAUAACGAGCGCAACCCUUACCCUUAUUUGCCAGCGAUUCGGUCGGGAACUAUAAGGGGACUGCCGGUGAUAAACCGGAGGAAGGUGAGGACGACGUCAAGUCAUCAUGGCCCUUACGAGUAGGGCUACACACGUGCUACAAUGGGGAAUACAGACGGACGCUAAGCCGCGAGGUGGUGCUAAUCCUAGAAAGUUUCUCGUAGUCCGGAUUGGAGUCUGCAACUCGACUCCAUGAAGUCGGAAUCGCUAGUAAUCGCGAAUCAGCAUGU
rnacentral:rRNA from 1 species